rnacentral:lncRNA from 1 species
GGGCAACGGCCAUAAUUAUAGUUGGAAAGCUGUGACCCUCCUCUCUUUGUAACCCAUGGAACAAGUAAACAGAAAAUCAGUAAGGACGUAGAAGAUGAGCACAGUGGCUCUUCCAACUUGAUCUAAUUGACACUCAGAAAAAUUCACCCAGCAGCAGCAGAAUCUACAACCUCUCCAACGGCACAGGAAACAUUCACCAAGGCAGUCUCUACUCUGGACCUUAAAAUGAGCUGCAGCAAUUCAACACAUUUAAAAUACUUAAAAUUACAUAAGGUAUAUUCUCUAGCUACCAAGGAGUGGAAUGAGAAAUCUAUUACAGAAAGAUAUUUGGAAAAUUCCCCCAAAUUUGGAAACCAAAAGGCCUGCUUCUAAAUAAUUUGCAGGUCAAGGGGAAGGCGGGAAGGACAGGGAACCGAUUUCCCACUGAAUGAAAAUAAAAACACCUGACAUGAAGAUUUGUGGGUUACAGUUAAAGCAGUGUUUUGAGAGACAUUUAUGGCAUUAAACAUUUAUACUUAAAAAAAAGAAGAAUGGUUUCCGUUCAAGAAUCUGUUAAAUAAUUGGAUGAAGAAGAACUAAUCAAUUACAAAGCAAACUGAAGCAAGGAAAUACCAAAGAUAGGAGCAGAAACUAAGGAAAUUGAAAACAGAAAAAUAGAGAAAAUCAAUAAGACCAAAAGCUGGCUCUUGGAAAAGAUCAAUAAAUUUGAUAAACCUUGAGUCAGACUUGUCAAGAAUAAGGGUGGACAUAAUAGAUCCCACAUCAGGGAUGAGAGAAGGUGUCAUUAGCGGUCCUAGAGACACAGGGAGUACUAUGAAACACCCAUAAGUAUUUCAGGAUUGUGGGGCAUCUGUCGUAGCCUUUGACAAAUUAUGUAUUAACUCCAGGCUUCAGUUUUAUCUUCUUUAAAGAGGUGGAAUAAUAGCACCAUGCCUUGCAGAUUUGGUGUCUGCUGAGGGCUUGCCUCCUGGUUUGUAGAAAGCUGCCUCCCUGCUGUGUCCUCACCCCCUUCUAAAGGCACUAAUCCCUUCCCAGGUCCCCACCCUCAUGACCUAAUCUAACCUAAUCACCUCCCCAAAGUCUUACCUCCAGAUACCACCAUGUCGGGGGCUGGGCUUCAACAGACACAUUUUGGGGGCGGGGGAACACAAUCAAUCAGUCCAUGCCGGGCCUUUGGCUGUGGUGUGAUGUCGAGACAGCCUAUGCCCCAGGAUGCAGCCCAGUGGUGAAGGAGCAGGUGGAGCUGAUAGGAACAUCUCUUGGAGGCCUCUUGUCUGCUGCCCGUGCCUCCCAUCAGCAAGUCCAACCAGGAGGCAGAGAGAAAGGGCCUGAGACGACGGAGUCUGAGCAGGGAUGCUGCACAGGGAAGAAGGUCUGGGGGGAUGGAGAGGACAGCCCAGGACAGGUUCUGUUUCCUCCUCUGUGAAACGAGCAGGUCGGGUACCCAGCGAGGUUGUCAUGGAGACGAAAUUGAUAACACCUGUCCAGGGUUCCACCCAGCGCCAGCAUAAAGGUAAGAACAGAGCGAGUGACCAUGCUAAUUUUUCACAGUGGUUUUUUAUUUUUGUCUUUUAGGGCUGAACUGGAGGCAUGUGGAGGUUCCCAGGCUAGGGGUCGAAUUGGAUCUGUAGCUGCUGGCCUACACCACAGCCGCAGCCAGGUGGGAUCCGAGCCAAGUCUGUGACUGACACCACAGCUCACGGCAAUGCUGGAUCCUUAACCCACUGAGUGAAUCCUCAUGGAUACUAAUCGGAUUUGUUUCUGCUGAGCCACUGUGGGAACUCCUUCAUAGUGAUUUUCGGUAGAACUGCUGUGUAUUUUCUUUUUGCUAGAACACAAAUCAAAAAUAGCUUUCCAUGUCCAAAAAUUCUUCCAAAGCAUCGUUUUUAGUCUCUGAAGAAUAUCCCGUUUUAUGGAUGUUCCCAAAUGUCCUCAACCUUCUCUUGUUUUCGGACAGUUAGGUUCUUAUUUUCCACUAAGAGUGAAGCUUCGGGAGUUCCCUGGUGGAUCGGUGGGCUAAGGAUCUGGUGUUGUCACUACUGCGGCCCAGGUUGCUGCCAUGGUGUGAGUUCUAUCCCUGGCCUGGGAAUGUUCGCCUGCCAUGGGCACAGCUGAAAAGAAAUAAAAAAAAAUAAGUAAGUAAAAGGAACACAAUAGAGUCCUUAUUAUUAUUAUUAUUUUUUUAAGUGAAGGUUGAAUCAGUCUUCCUGUAGCUAAAUAUUUGGACAUAUCCUUGAUCAAUUUCUGGAAGUAGAAUUGCUGAGUCAUGGCAUACACGUAGCUUUCAAGUUUUGAUAUUUACAGCCAAAUCAACUUCAAAACGAUUGUGUAGCAGUAACCACGAGCUUUGGGUCACCAGCUCCUUGGAAUCAGAACUGUCUCUGGCUGGGGACGCAGGACCACUCAGUGGGUGUGUCUGGGGAACACGUGACUUUAGCUCUCGACGUCUCUGUGGAUGGAUGUAGGGCCUUGUAUCAGCAAGGUGGCAUCUGCCUGUGGGGCCUUCCUCAUCCCGAAUGGCCACCUGCUUCUGGGGACGUGGCCACCAGGGUUCCCCUCCACGCUGCUGCUUGGCCGUCUCCUUCUCAGAGCCACCCCCCCCUUUCCUAUCUUAGUUGAUUUAGAUUUCCUGGAAACAGGACCUGGAGCAGGGACCGGGUGCUCUGUUUGGUUCAUGGACUGUGAGCCAGCAUGAUGUGGGUGUGUGUCACUCUUAGGCAGAAGCAUUUCAGGGCUGGAGCCCUGCUUUGUGUCUCUUCUCCCCACCUCUGAGACCUGGGAGAAUCUGUGUUCGGAAGGAGAGCUGCAGGUGGAGGCCUCACCUGGUCCUCGCCCGCUGUAUGUGCGUGAGAAGUAAACCUUGGUUUUAAGCCAUCCGGCUUCAGGUUUGCCUGUCAUGAGAGCUAGUCUUCCUCUCCUGACUAGUUCAGGUGGGGAGUUUGACCUCGUUCAUGAAAUAGCAGAAGGACAGUGUGGCUGGGGGUGUGGUGGCCAAGGCAGGUGGCGCACGUGGGGGUGGUGCUGGCAGCAGGUGGCGCACGCGGGGUCGUGAUGGCAGAUGGAGCGGGAGUGAGGACAUCAGGCUUGACUCUGGAGUAGCUGGGAGUCCUGUGAAGGCCGGAGCAGAGGACAGUUUGGUCUGGUUCACACCUCGGACAGACCGCAGGCGUCAGGAUGACCUGAGGGCUGGUUGCGCCUUUUGAGGAACGCAGCGGCUGGCUCGGACAAGGCCAGGUUGUGUGUGGGGGGGAGCAGGUGGGUCCAGCACAGUUUGGAGGCAGAGAAGACUGGACAUGUUCAUGGAGUUGGGGUCAGGAGUAAGGAUGAAGAGAGCCAAAGACAGCUCCCCGUUCGGACCUGAUCCACUGGAAGAAUGAUGGGGCCGAUCUUGGCCCUGAGAAGACUUGUGAAAAGCAGCUUGGUGAGAAGUUCCUGGGUUCUGCCUGGGCAUCUUUGGUUUGAGGUUCCUGUUAUAUCCACAAGGAGGGGGUGAUGUGUGUACUAGGAUCAGGUCCGGAGCUGUCACCCUGCCUGUUCGGCGUUAGGAGCGUGGUGCCUCUCAGAGACAUGAGAUAAAGCGGCCUCAACCCCGUGCAUAUUCUGUGGGCUGUUCGGGGUCUGUGGUGCCUCCAACGACAGCAAGCGGCCAGUUCACAUUCAGAUCUCGUAAGAUGUUUGGUAGAUUUCCUGGGAGCUGAGAGGCGCCUCCCUGUGCUGACAAGCGCACCUGCAGCACCGUUUCCUCUGCAGCUACUGUUCACAGCGAAAGCACUCCCCUUGCUUUCCACCAUUGCUUCAUGUACACACAGACAGUUCUGUGUCAAGUUCCCUAAAGUGCCUCAAGAGUCAGAGUUUCCACUUCUGAGGUUUGGUGGCGCCCAGUGGAAAGCUGCUCUCACCAGCCCCCCAGGUGCCUGGGCUGGUGUUCUCACACUCACUCACUUUCUGCCACAUGCAUCUCAGCUCAGGGUGGGAAUUGCUGUCCAGUCUCUGAUAAAAGAGAGUUCAGACACUUGCACUCCUGCAUGUCCAAGACCAGCUUCUGGUGGUGGGAGUGGGUGUAAAGGUGAGCAAGGCAUGGACCAAGGGCAAGGAGCUUACACCGUGAGGAUGGAUGAGCAUGUUGGCCUUGACCAAGCCCAAGGUCUGUUGAGGCAGGUUCUCAGCAUUGUGCUCUGGGGAUGUGAGGAAUACGGGUACCAUCUGGGAAUCAGAGAUGCUUUUUAGGGCAGCGGGGGGUUCAGCUGAGUGGCCAGAAGUAGGAGACCAUGUUUCCUUUCCAUUGCAAGUACAGAGACCUCACCAACUUACUCAACCCCGGUAGAAAAUUUGCUGGCCUUCGUAACUGGAAGGGCUGGAUCUAGGAGUUCGCAUGUCACAGUUAAGAGCCUGUCCCUAUUUCUUAGUCACGGGUUCUCCCACGUCAUCUUCAUUCUCAGGCGCACCCUUCCCAUAUUCUGACAGAAAAAGCCCCUAUGAGCUCCAAGUGCAGACCUUACUAGUUUGGCGUCCCCUUUCCUAGGAGGGAAGAGCUUUGCUUCGCUAACUUUACAGCAGAGAAGCCCCAGGGUGGCCAUGUGUCCAGUGUUUAACCAACACUGCCCAAUGGGAUGUGUGUUCUAUUCAGCAGCCCAGGCCCUGGGCCAGCCCUCUUGCUGGACACCCACGUUAGCCUCUCCCGAACCACUUGGACAAAAGAUGUAGGAAGGGUUGUUUUUCCAAAGUGAAAUUAAGGAGCUGUUACCAGAUGAAAAGGCAUCAGUGCUGAAGGAAGCAAAAAUGACAGAUGCAUGACAUAGAAGCCAGGAGGUUGGCAGCAGACACUUGAUCUGUCCAUCCAUCUGUCUAUCCAUCCCCCCACCCAUCCGUCCAUCCAUCCAUCCCUCCCUCCAUCCAUCCAUCCAUCCAUCCAUCCACCCACUUGUUGAAUUCAAUGUGUAAAUUUCCUGUGGCUGCUCUUACAAAUGAUCACAGGUUUUGCGAUUUAAAAUAGCACACAUUUGGAGUUCCCAUGGUGGGGCAGUGGAAAUGAAUCCAAUGAGGAACCAUGAGGACUUGGGUUCAAUCCCUGGCCUCACUCAGUGGGUUAAGGAUCCGGCGUUGCUGUGAGCUGUGGUGUAGGCCGGUAGCUUUAGCUCCAAUUAGACCCCUAGCUUGGGAACCUCCAUAUGCAGUGGGUGCUGCCCUAAAAAGACAACAAAAUAAAAUAAAACAGCACAUAUUUAUUAUCUCAUAGUUCUGGAGGUCAGACAUCUGACGGGGCCUCAGGGGACUAAAACGAAGGUGUCAGGAGGGCUGUGUUCCUUCUGGAGGCUCCAGGGGAGAAUCCGUCUUCUUGGAUUUCCUGCCUGGAGAGGCUCCCACUUCCUUCAUCUUUGAACCAGCAGUGGGCAGGGUCUUCUCACUCUGCCAUUUCCUUGAUUCCCUCUCUUAUCAUCUCUCUUUUUGACGUCCAGACAUUUUAUUUCUGUAUAUUACAAACCAGACAAGCAGUUAUUAAUUUUGAUUUAAACAGUCAACUGUAUUUUAAAGUGAUUUAAAUGACAAGAAUAACUGUCUUUUAUUUGCGCUUCUGGUCAUCAGUUCGAGUAUUCUUUAUUACUUGGUGUAGAUUCAGAUUUCCAUCUGGUCUUACUUUCCUUUGCUUGAAAAUCUCCCUUUCUCGUAGUGCAGUUUCAUUGGUGAGAACAUCGUUUUCAGCUUUUGCAUUUCUGAAAACUAUUUUGCCUUCAUUUUUAAAACUCUUUUUCGGGAGUGAAGGAUUCUAGGUCGGUAGUGUUUUUCAGUGAUUUAGGGUCACUUCAUUGCCUUUGAGCUGACACUUUUCCAUCGAGAUGUCUGCUGUCAUCCUUAUUUAUUUUCGUCCAGGUAAAUUGACCCUUUUCUCUGCCUUUAAGAUUUUUUCCUUUAUCAUUGACUUUAAACAAUUUGACAAUGAUAUACCUUUGUGUGGUUUUCUUUAUGUUUAUUGUGCUUUAGGUUUGAUAAGUUUUUUUUUGAUUGACGGGCUUAUGUUUUCAUCAAAUUUAGAAAAAUCUGGUCAUGCUAGCCUCAACUUCUCCCCUCUUGUAGGAGCUCCCAUUGCGUGUAUGUUUGGCCACUUGAAGUUGUCCCAUGCCACCGUGAUGCUCUGUUCAUAUUUUUGAGCCAUUUCUCCCUUUCUGUGUUUAAUCUCAUCUAUUGCUGUGUUUUAUCUCAUCUAUUGCUGUGUUUUCAAGUUCACUAAUUCUUUCUUCCACAAUGUUUAUUAAUUCACUGUUAAUUCCAUAUGUUGUAUUUAUUUUAAUCUCAUACCUUAUAAUUUUCAUUUCUAAAACUUCAAUUUGGGUAUUUUCAAAUGUCUUCCACAGCUCUUCUUAACUUGCAUGGUCUUUCUGGUAUGUCCUGGAGCAUAUGGGGCAUUGUAACUGUUUUAUGUCCUUUCUGCUAAUUUUGUCAUCUAUGUCAGUGCUGGUUUAGUUUUGGUUUCUUGCUUUUUCUCUUCAUUGUGGAUAUUUUCUUGCUUCUUUGGAUGCAUAGUGGACUUGGACUGAACGCCAGACACAGUGAUGUUUACUUUAUUCAUAUGCUGGAUAUUUUCUAUUCCCAUGCACAUUCUUGAGCUUUGUUCCAUACCACAGCUUAGUUCCUCAGAAACAGUUUGAUCCUUUUAGGUUUUAUGCUUCUUUGGUGGGAGCAGGCCAGGGCUAAGCUACUCCCCAGUUGAGGUAAAACGCUUUUGGGUGUUGUGUCCUAUGCUCUAUACCUUAAUAUUUUCCUGCAUUGGCUGGUGGGAACAGGCACUGUUCCUGGACCUGUGUGAGUUUGAUGAUUUUUCCCUGUAAUCCUUGUGGGGCUCAUUUUCCUGGUCUUGGGUAGCUUUUUCAGAGGAUGUGCUAACUGUUGAGGGGAGACCUCCCCAGGUCUCUGGAAUUCUCAAAGUGGCAGCCCUCUCCUCCUCCACGCCCUGUGACCUCCAGCCUCUUGGGCUUUCAUGGAGUCACAGUUCUGUCUCCUCAACGCAAGGAGACCUCUGCCUGGAGGAGAUUUCAAUGCAAUAUCAACUUUAAGACAAAUAAAAAGAACCACUUGUUGGGUCUUCUCUUCGGCUUUCCAUCACCUUGGGAAGGAGAGCGCUUCAAUCAGGUGACUUCUUAAAUGGGUCAUUCCAUGUCUGAGCAGCUGUGAGUGCAGACAGCUCCUCCCAGCUUGUCAUUUCUGCUGAGGAGUCCUGGUCCCACUGCUGUGAUGUGUGCUCAAAUCCUGGGACCGACCUUUCUCUCUGUCUCUCAGGGCUUUAUUUCAGCCCCUAAACCAUCUAGGCCAUGCUCUCUGUUGCCUCCUUUCUUUCCAAGCGAGGGCCCCUUAUUUUUUUAGUUAGUUAGUUAUUUGCUUUUUAUGGCAUAUGGAGGUUCCCAGGCUAGGGGUCUAAUCGGAGCUGUAGCCACUGACUACUCCACAGCCACAGCAACUCUGGAUCCUUUACCCACGGAGCAAGGCCCGGGAUUGAACCCAAAACCUCAUGGUUCCUAGUUGGGUUCGUGGACGGGGGGGCCCAUAUUUAAAUAGGACAUUUCAGGUAAAUUUCAGUGACAGGGUGUGGCGUUACCUCCUGCUUCCUAGAUACUGUGAUUCUCUUAGUGUAGCUCAAGCUGCUUCGGCCUUGUUGAUGCCUCUGUUCUGUUUCCUGACAGUGAGCUUACAGUUGACUGAAGCCCCCACAUCUUGUUUACCUUCUUGCUUGUUAAGCUACAGGAAGCAUGGUAUUUCUCUGCCUCACUGUUAGCUUUCAAAGGAUAAGUUUGGGCAAGUGUGUGUUAAAAAUUUAUUAGCAAAGAGCCAAAAAAAAAAAAAAAGAAAAAAAAAAA